UACGUAGGGUGCGAGCGUUAAUCGGAAUUACUGGGCGUAAAGGGCUCGUAGGCGGCCAACUAAGUCAGACGUGAAAUCCCUCGGCUUAACCGGGGAACUGCAUCUGAUACUGGAUGGCUUGAGUUCGGGAGAGGGAUGCGGAAUUCCAGGUGUAGCGGUGAAAUGCGUAGAUAUCUGGAGGAACACCGGUGGCGAAGGCGGCAUCCUGGACCGACACUGACGCUGAGGAGCGAAAGCCAGGGGAGCAAACGGG
rnacentral:rRNA from 1 species